CCACCUGCUUGCGUGAUCGUCUUCUCACCGAACACACGGGCAGGCGGAAAAGGGGCCCCCGCGCGGUCGACUCGCGCGGGGGCCCCGC
rnacentral:ncRNA from 1 species